rnacentral:rRNA from 1 species
UAGUUGGAGUUCUGCCAGGUGACACUCGUCCGCCCAAGUGGUGUGUACAGGGUGUGCAUCUGGCCCUUUCAAGGGGAACGUGUCUGCACUUAAUUGUGUGGUGCGAGAUCCUUGACUUUUACUUUGAGGAAAUAGGAGUGUUCCAAGCAGGCUCUCGUCGUGCAUAGCUCAGCAUGGAAUAAUAGCAUUGGACUUCGGUUUCUACGCUGUUGGUUGCAAGAAGCGAGGUAAUGAUGAAGAGGGAUAGUUGGGGGCCAUUUGUAUUAACACGUCAGAGGUGGAAUUCU